rnacentral:lncRNA from 7 species
UUUCCAAACAAAAACGUGUGAUUUGGGGGAUAAUGGGGUAUUUUUGAAGAGAUAAUGCAUGAUUUUGGGGUAAAUGCGGGAUUGUUGAAGAAACAGUGCAUGAUUUUGGGGUUAAGGGUGUUUCUAGAAGAGAAAUUGCAUGAUUUUGGGAUAAAUCAGGGAUUCUCGAAGAGAAAUGCCUCAUUUUCGGGUUAAAUGGGGGCUUUGGAAGAGAAAUUGCAUUUUCUUCUGGUCAAAUGGGGGAUUUUCGAAGAGCAACUGCAUGAUUUUCGUUUACAUGUGAGAUUUUGUAGAGGAAAUGCAAUGAUUUUUUGGAAACAUGGGGGACUCUUGUAGCAAAAAAGUUUGAUUUUGGGGUCAAACGGGGGAUUUUUGAAGAGCAGAAGUGUGAUUUUCACGUUAAAUGGGGGAUUUUCCACAAGAAAAUGUGGUGAAUUUGGGGGAUAAUGGGUAUUUUUGAAGAGAUAAUGCAUGAUUUUGGGGUAAAUGUGAGAUUUUCCAAGAGAAAAGGCAAGAUGUUCGGGUUGAAUGGGGGACUUUGCAAGAGAAGUUGUGUGAUUUUGGGAUAAAAGGGGAUUUUUGAGAGAAAAUGUGUGAUUUUUGUUUAAAGGGGGUAUUUUUGAGGAGAUAAUGCAUGAUUCUGGGGUUAAGUGGGGGAUUGUUGAAGAGACAGUGCAUGAUUUUGAGGUUAAAUGUGGGAUUUUCUUAGAAUUGGAAAUUUAAGGCAAGAAUGUGAUGUUUGGGAUUGAAAUGUGUGACUUUGUCUAGAGAAAUGCUGUUGAAUGUUUGGAUAAGUGCGGAUUUUUGAAGAGAAAAUGCGUGAUUUUGGGGAUAAUCAGGGA